UGUAAGCGUAUACCAAAGUUGUUGCAGUUAAAACGCUCGUAGUCGGAAUUUGGCAGUUCCGGAAGUGUGCACGUCGUGUGCGCACUUUGCGGGGACUGCUUUUGUGGUCUUGCGUAGGAUGAGGCACUUUCAUUAGUGAACGUCCUCACGCAACCACUCUUUACUGUGAGAAAAUCAGAGUGCUCAAAGCAGGCAUUUGCCGUGAAUGUAUUAGCAGGGAAUAAUAGAAUAGGACUCGGUUCUAUUUUGUUGGUUUGUUGGGACUGAGUAAUGAUUAAGAGGGACAGUUGGGGGCAUUUGUAUUCCGGCGCUAGAGGUGAAAUUCUUAGAUUGCCGGAAGACAAACUGCUGCGAAAGCGUCUGCCAAGGAUGUUUUCAUUGA
rnacentral:rRNA from 1 species